AUCCCAUGUGACCCUCAGCCACUCCUCUUUCUUGGUGAUGCCGAAGCCAACCUUCAACGAAAAAAACGAAAUUAAAGUAACUGGAUCAACACAUUAGACUGCCUUACCGUCAAUAUCCUCUGAGUGAACGGAUCUUUAGUAACACAUCUGCUGGAAACUGUGAAGGAAAACCGAUCUUGAUGGUAGUAAUCAGCAAAGUGUCAAGCUGGAAGGGAUAUAGAAAAGAAAUAGUAAAAUAUGUCCCAGAGACCAUCGUCCAUGUUACCACAGUACAGACUAGGCGAAAUAUAUUCGACUAAAAUAAGCAUAUAGUAGGCAAUAAAAUCUUCACAUACUACUUAGAU